rnacentral:rRNA from 1 species
UACGUAGGGUGCAAGCGUUAAUCGGAAUUACUGGGCGUAAAGCGUGCGCAGGCGGCUUUGCAAGACAGAUGUGAAAUCCCCGGGCUUAACCUGGGAACUGCAUUUGUGACUGCAUGGCUCGAGUACGGUAGAGGGGGAUGGAAUUCCGCGUGUAGCAGUGAAAUGCGUAGAUAUGCGGAGGAACACCGAUGGCUGAAGGCAGUCCCCUGGACCUGUACUGACGCUCAUGCACGAAAGCGUGGGGAGCAAACAGG